UGCUCGAGUAACACAAAAAAUUGUUAAUUAAAUUUAAUAUGCCGUAUUGUGCAGUAUUAAGCUGUAGAAAUCACAGCGGAUUGAAAAAUCUUUCUCGUGGAGGUAUUUCCUAUCACCGGUUUCCUAAUGAUCCUGAGAUUAAAAAUAAAUGGAUCGAUGCUACUGGGCAAGUAAAUUGGUUUCCGCAAAAAUAUAGCACCAUUUGCUCCGAGCAUUUCUUAGAGGAAGAUUUCUGGAUGUCCCCGAAAGGAAACCGAUACAUUUUAGCUGAGGCAUUUCCUGUGCAAAAGAUUGUGUGUAACGUAAGCUGCACAGAGAUUACAGAAUCACAAGCUCCUUCAAGUUCGACCAAUCGUCCAUCUACACCCACAGAAACAAAAGAAGGAUCAGAUUCUGAAACUGUUAAUAAUUCAGAAUCGCCAUGCAGUUCAACGAGUUCAACGGUUUUAUCCCCACGUGAACGAAAACUAAAAAGUAACUUAAAAAAGGCCGAACUAAAAUUAAAGAGCCAUGUAAAAACAAUAAAACUACUCCAGGCUCAGAAUCGCCGCCUCAAAAGAAAGAUUAGUACUCUAGCAGACGCCUUAUUAGACAAAUCUGUCCGUUAAGUUAAGACACAAAUUUGCAUUAAGUUAUGAAAAUAUAACAUCUUGAAAAUACUAAUAUCGAGGUAAUUUCCGUCAUCCCGCUUUUCAUUAUUUUGACUGGUGGUAAAAACUUUCUACUUUCAAAAAAUAUUUGUUGGUCCGAUAUGCGUCUUUUUCAAGUAGGUAAUAUAAUUAGUAUAAUUACAAUAACGUUGCAACUAAGCAUGUUAUGUCACUUAUGUCAGACUCGUGGCCAAGGGCCAAAGCCCAAAUCCCAUGGACACCUGCAACACCAGAGGGGUUGUAAGUGCGGACUUUAAGAUGGGUAUACGCUCUUUUCUUCAAGGUUUGAAGAUCGUACGUACUUUAUGUGAUAAUACCACAUUUAUUAUACAUAAUCUUGUAGUAGGUAAUCUUUCGUUGCCAUUAUAGCUAACCUUAUAUAUUCAUUCAUGUUUAAUUGCAGGUCAAGGAAUCAAUAUCGCGCGUCAAGCGUAUCAUUUUCUUAGUGAAUGAAGUUAUGUGACAUUGGCAUUAAAGUUGUCGCCCUAGAUGAUCAGCAAGCGCAGUAAAUGUAUCUUUUUCAGCAAAACUUGGUUGUUGUUUUUAAAGUAAUGAUGUAAAAUUUAUACAGCCUGUAACUAAAGAUAGGUAACGUAGUCGCAGUUUUAGUUCCAUGCCGCAUGAUUAAACUACUGCGGAAUGCCUUUAAGUCAUAUGAUAUCAAACAUUUGUCAAAGAGGAUGGAAAAAAUACAGUGGCAGUUAAAGACGAGUAAUUGCAGAAAAUCACAUAAUAACAAUAAUACCGAGUUAAUACACGUUAAAGAAUUAUGAUUGGUGGGCCGAGUCAAGUAUUUUAUCUAUUUUACCGUAAGAUAUAAUAUACACCAUUUUUUUUAACCUUUAACUUCGGGGUAUGGCUAACUACAUUUAAGGAAACUAAAUGUUUUUUUUUACUCAAAAGUAAUUGAUAGCGUUGUUGUAACACGGACAUUAUAUUGAAAUCCACCAAACAAUUGAAAACUAUGACAUAUCAAUGACAUUUCGAAUAUCGGUCAUCCGAGAUGGUACGGUCAGCUGCAGAGAAAAGGUGCCACGAUGCAUACAAACUUCUAUCGUUUAGUAGCAAGUAGCAAAUGUAUAAAGUCAUACUAAACACUAACCAAUAUGUAAACAGGCCCUAAGGCAAGUGUACACGCUCGUAGGGGUCUUAUCAGAUAAAAAUAAAACCGGCCAAGUGCGAGUCGGACUCGCGUUCCAAGGGUUCCGUAUAUUACACAAUUUAAACAAUGUAUUUUGUAUGUGAAACGUGAGUGAAAUGUCUUUAAAAAACCCGUAGGGGUCGGAUCAAAAACUAAGUAAUUAAGUCCGACUCACGCUAGACUGCGAUUUCUAAUAGGUUUUCCUGUAUUCUAUAGGUUGUUAUCUAUUUUGUUUAUUUUUUUUUCAAAAUUUAAGACCUUGUAGUUUCGGAGAUAAAGGGGGGGGGGGAAUGGUCAUUUU